AAAGAUUUAGUUUAAAUAAAACAUGAAAUUGUCAAUUUUAAUUUACUAAUUAAAGUAAUCUUUU
rnacentral:tRNA from 1 species